UCUUCCCUUCAAGACCUUAAGGUAGUUGGAGCUGGUCCCAAGCCGGUUUUCACUGACCAGAUAGCAAAAGCACGGGUCUGACAACCACCAAUCAAGUGUUAACACUGCAAGGACCUUUGUCUGAAUGUGUAUAAAGGAUCGGUAAAAUGUGUGUAAGACAGAGUUUUUGUACUAAGGUGCAAAGCUCUCCUUUCUUCUGCAGAAUAAAGCAGCUCUUCCUUAUCCCUGUCUGGCUGUUAUUGGCUCUCGGCUAGGUGGACCCGAUAUUUCGGUAACAGUUUCUAGCGACUCCGCCGGGACUCUCCUAGCUCGGACAUUGGACUCCGGAUGGCUGUGGCAAAUUGGGAACGGCGCCAAUGGGGUGUUUCGCCCCUUUUCUCUGCUUCACCGCAGCCCCUGGGGUUCGUGUUCUGAUAAGGUGAGUCCUAAUAGGAUAAGGAGACACUAUCUGGUUCUGGUCUGGUUAACCGGUUAAUGAAUUUCUGUCUUAUACAUUUGGGCGUUAGGUGUGUGGAAGGAACUGAGCCUCUCAUUCGUAAUUCCUCAGAGUAGAAGCCAUCGCGUGCGAUGAAGCUCUGAGGUCGAAUUGGGAUCCUUCUGUCCCGUCCCCUGUAGCGGUCAGUAUUAGUAGAAAUUCCUGUAAUAGGAUCCUAUUAGGCCAUAAUUCCCUCUGUUCUCUGUGUAAUUCUCUGUUAGAGUAUCAGCAGGCAGAUGGGUGGGUCUCUGGUAAAACCCUCUGAGGAUAGCCCUUUAAAUUAUAUGUUAAGUAAAUGGUCUUUACCCGGUGUUUAAAAAGAAAUAGUUACACCUUGUGUAGAAAUUGAUGUGGCUAGUGUUGUGGAAAUUGAAUUGUGGAGAGGAUGUGCAUUUUCCCCAGAACAUGUGCAGUGUAUAUUGUAGCAGAGGUAAAAGAAAUGCAAACCUACCAAUAUAGGUUGUGUUGUCUUUUUCAGAUCACUGGGUGUUUGAAAGCAGGAGUUAGAAGUAAAAGGCAAUCAAAAGUCUGGGAAAGUUAAUUGUGUCCUUUUUUUUAAGUAAGAAUCUUUAAGCUGUGGAUAGCUUUGGAUCUGGAAGCAAGCCAGAAAGCAUCUGUAUUAAUGUAAUUUUCUAACGAAUAAAGUAGAAGCCACUGAAACCUGGGCUGCCUAUGAAAUAAAUACAAGGAAAUAUGGGGUAAUUCUGUUUUGCCUAAAAUCAACAAGAGUAUGUGUAUAUAAAGGAAAUAUUUUAAGCAAUGACUGACUGCCCAGAAGGGGUAGACCUCUGUUCUUUUGUCUUUCAGAUCAUCAGAGAAAACGGAUGCCAGCUGAAUAGCAUUCAACGUACCAUGCAUUUACUGGCACAAUAGGAAUUAUUUUUGUGUUCUAUGGCCAAAAUUGUUGUUAAAAUGUGCAUACCAACAGUCUUUGGAAGCAAGGACAUGGAAGGUUAACCCAUUCCCCAUAUUGCCGAUGGGAUCCUUCUGGCUACCUCAGAUUUCUAGCCAGAGGGCUGGGAAGGGAGGAAAGCUAUUGGACACCAGAGGUUGUACCGAGUGGACUCCUCAAAGGUUAAAAGAAGCCAAGAAGGGAAGAAGGAAAAAGAACAGAACGAGUUAACUGAAAAAAAAUAGCUAGCAAGCUCAGUCCAAAGAUAAGAUGCUGGCCCCAUCCAAGGACACUGCCCACAGCUAAGACUUGGCUGACAGCCAAGAAAAGGGGGGCCUGAAUGUGCCCAAGCAAUUAUGAGAUCUGCAAAGCACUGCCAGGCAUUAAUGAAAUGUGUUAGGUUUCUUUUCUCACAGAUAAAAGAACUGCUACCCAAAGACCCUAGCAGCCCUGCCAUUCAUUGAAACAAGGAGACUGAGUCUAUGUAAAGUCCAUCUACAAAAGACUGCUUUGGCUCCCCACUGGAAAGGCCCUUUCCAAGUGCUGUUAACCACCAACACCGCUGUGAAGUGCUAAGGACUACCUGCCUGGACCCAUGCUUCUCACUGUAAAAAGACCCCUCCACCUCGGGAGGACUCUCCGGCUGAUAAGCCUAUUUCUCCUUCUAGCUCUGCUGUGCCUCCUGGACAGCAGGAAAAAGGAAAAAAGACAAGGUGAAGUGCUAGUAACAUCUCCCUUGUCCACUGACAGACCUACUGUGCCUUUGGAUUUUUCUAGAAGAAGCAAAACCAUUACAGGGUGAUGUGCUAGUAACCUCUCCCCUGUAUGAUGCUAAACCACACUGUUUCAGGAAAAGAGAAGAAGGAACACUUGCUUCAUUGGAACCACCAAAGUCCAGGGACUCCUGACUACAAGAGACAUUAAGAACUGACCCUGGUGAAGAAACAAAGAAUUAUAUACUGGCAGGAAGAAAAGCAUGUGGGACCCAUGCUUGGGAAUGUGGUAUAGUACUACACCAAAAAGAAAUGUAUUAGGAUAUCAAUGAACUGUGAUUAACACUACACUAGGGACUGUUAAAUUUUCAUUACCCUUAUUCAGUUUCCAGAUCACCUCUACAUACCCAAAUUGCUCACAGGGGGCUGCCAUUAGAUUAGCACAACAGAGGGCUUGGGUUAUUUCCUCUAGAAAGAAAAGUGACUUGACCGGAUCCCUAUGGGAUGGGGCCAAUAGUGCAGCAGCAGUUUGGAAUAUUUUUAAGAACCAAAACAUGAUGAGAAAUUGGGGCACAGCUAACCCAGGUACAGGCUGGAAUUGGUGAGUUACAUGUUAUCUCCGCCCUUAGUUCAAUGACCCAGAAGUUGCUGACAGAGAUGGUAUUGAAUAUCACUGAGGCUGGGAAGGCAUUGCAGUGGGAUCUAGCAUGUUCAGAAAUUCAGGAUUUCCUGAAUGACCAGCUAAUGGCCAUUUGGAAUGAUCUAGAGCAUCAGGCUUGGCCCACUGCCCUUACAGACACAUCAGGAGUACCAUCUGAUCUGUGGCCAUGGAGACAUACUUGGAAACUUUCUGGGUGGAAGUGCGGACGUUCUCAAUGCUCCUUCCAAGCAUAUGAACCAAUUAGGGGGGGACUUGUGCUCGCAUCGGGGAAAAAUGUUGUUUCUAUGUUAAUCAUUCUGGCUUAAUUGAGCAGGAUUUACAAGCCAUUAAGAAUGCUGCUGUUGUUUUCUGUGCUUUAUCUCUUGAUCACACCUUUAGUUUUGAGGACCUCCUUCCAGACCUUGGGUCAUGGUUUACGGGGCUCUUUCAAACAAUUGUUAAAUGGAGUCUUUUCUUUCUAUGUGUUAUUUGGACAAUGAUACAAUGUGCCAAAUGCCUGUGUAAUGCUAUGAUCAAAAGCUCUGCUGUCCAUAAGAAAACCCAGUAUCUGUCCCUCCAGCUUGAUCGCAAAUUGCAUAACGGGCCUGACAAUUUUUGAAUUUGUCAGGCCCGAAGGGGGGACUGUGAAAGUUACUAGUGACCCCUCCCCUUAACAGAGCAGCCUUUAUGUUAACCAAGUGGCCAUUAGGGGGAAGCAGACACUUCAAGUACACAGUAGCCUGAACUUUUCAACUGUCUUCCCUUCAAGGCCUUAAGGUAGUUGGAGCUGGUCCCAAGCCAGUUUUCACUGACCAGAUAGCAAAAGCACGGGUCUGACAACCACCAAUCAAGUGUUAACACUGCAAAGACCUUUGUCUGAAUGUGUAUAAAGGAUCUGUAAAAUGUGUGUAAGACAGAGUUUUUGUACUAAGGUGCAAAGCUCUCCUUUCUUCUGCAGAAUAAAGCAACUCUUCCUUA